rnacentral:sRNA from 2 species
CGCUCCGUCCUAGGGGAGUAGUCUCCCGCGAGCCCCCGCUCGCCCGGUACGCGUCAACACACUUGGCCCACAGGCCAUGGCGCGUGCGACCCACGAUCUGCGCAGACAGGUCCAGGGUU